rnacentral:tRNA from 1 species
GGAGGCCCCAGCCGAAUGAUGGCGGCGGCGCCGGAUUCGAAAUUCGGUUGCGGUAAAACGCGUGGGAGUUCGAACCUCCCGGUCUCCG